AAUUUGCGUUGCGCAAUACGCUCAUCGGCAUCGCAUACUGAAUGCAUUGGACGUCAUUUGAGCACGCAAUUAAGCGCCCGUGCAACUUAAUUUCACCGCGGAUCGGCUACGUCCCUAAGCUUCAUCUCGUCACAGGAGGGCAUCAGCGGGCUUCGACCUAACCUCGUUGCGGGAACACCGAGAAGUACAACCCCUAUCGUCAUCUCACCGCGGGAGCGCGUACAGUGAUACGGGUUCUAUAUCGAUGCAGACGUAAACUCUAUAAACGGCGAUUGUACCAAAAACCUGAUCAUGGAAAAAUGUUAGUGGUACCUCAAGCAAUCAGAUGGCGCCUAACCAAGUGCAACCACGAUAAAGCGGGAACCGAAAAGGGCGACUAUGUCAAGUCCUACAUUGCUUCUUGGUGAACUAUACUUGCAAGAAGUGUUACACAUACCGUUCCGAACAGUUAUCAUUCAUCACAUUGGGCAGUUCAUAUAAAGUAAAACCAACAGCUGCAAUAAAAGCCCUGAAACGAAUUUGCUGUGUUUAGAGCCAACUCUUUUACAUCAAUGCAGUUCGCCCAUCUUAUAAAUGAAAAUGGAAGAUAUGCUACGAUGGCAGGUAUACUUCCCCAAAGAAAUUCGGUGUAGACGAUCUGGUUAUAAUCGAAUUUUUUCCAGCUGCGAUAGGAAUUACACAUAAAUUGGAUCCAGUUUUUAAAAGGACCUUAUUUGUUAUCCAAGGUUCUUUCUAACGAUCGAUACUUAAUAGAGGACUUUACAGAUCAUUCA